rnacentral:rRNA from 1 species
AUUGAACGCUGGCGGCAUGCCUUACACAUGCAAGUCGAACGGCAGCACGGGGCAACCUGGUGGCGAGUGGCGAACGGGUGAGUAAUGUAUCGGAACGUACCAUUGAGUGGGGGAUAACGUAGCGAAAGUUACGCUAAUACCGCAUAUUCUCUCCGGAGGAAAGCAGGGGACCGCAAGGCCUUGCGCUCUUUGAGCGGCCGAUAUCAGAUUAGCUAGUUGGUGAGGUAAAGGCUCACCAAGGCGACGAUCUGUAGCGGGUCUGAGAGGAUGAUCCGCCACACUGGAACUGAGACACGGUCCAGACUCCUACGGGAGGCAGCAGUGGGGAAUUUUGGACAAUGGGGGCAACCCUGAUCCAGCCAUGCCGCGUGAGUGAAGAAGGCCUUCGGGUUGUAAAGCUCUUUCGGCCGGGAAAAAAUCGCAUGGGCUAAUACGAAGCUGAAUGUACGGUAAGAAUAAGGAUCGGCUAACUCCGUGCCAGCCGCCGCCGUAA